UAACCCGUGUCGGAAGGCACGGCUGAACUGGCAGGAGGAAGCUUUGGGCAUAGUACCCUGGGGGUCAUGAACUCCAGGGGAAGGCC
rfam:Thermanaeromonas toyohensis ToBE genome assembly, chromosome: I